rnacentral:lncRNA from 1 species
CCAGACACCAGCUUCCUGGCCUAUGUCCUGGCCCCUGGUAUCUGGAUGACAGCAGCGUGAUCCUCCUGUGAGGUCCUUCCUUGCCCUCUGAUCUGAGUUCCUGAAAGCAGAGAGCCACUCAGGAACUGCUGUCCCUCAGCCCAGCUGGCUGGUGACGGGCUUUUGAAGACUCUGCGCUCUCUCCUGCUGGAAGAGCUCCCCAGGGUCGACCAGGAGCCAGGUGAUCACUUUCAGCCUCUGUGAGCUACUGGAGAUCACCAAACCUUCCAAUACCUCGGGCAGGUGCCAGGGCCUUUAAGGAGGCUUUCUGCUCUGUGGGGAUGUUCUGCAGGCUCCAGU